UGCACAGUGAAGCCCUAAGGGCAGUGAGCUGUGCUGAGCUCACUGUGGGAUCCUUAGGACGACCUUGUCAGCAUGGGAUGCUGCCAGGUCACUCUGAGACUUGGUAACCCAAAUACAAGUUCUGGAUGGUCACCGAGAAGCAAGAGGGUCAGGAGAUGCCCAUCACCUCCUUGUCUCCCUGCUGGCCAGUUCUCACAUCUGGCUCAGAUAGCUGGGAGUGACUGAGCUUCUGGGGGGCUGCCAAAACAGCAUUCCUGACCCCCAAAUGAGUUGCUCAAUGUGGCCUUGGCUCACCCUUAGAGGCCACUGCCUCAGAGGGACUCCUGCUCUGGUCUAGGGUCACCCUCCCACAGGGCGUCCUGCACACUACCCCCAGGAUGUCCCAGAGAAGUGGCACUGUUAGGAAGUGUGGCCUUUUUUGGAUGGAAUAGAUGUGGCCUUGUUGGAGCAGAGCAAAUGUGUCACUGCGUAGAUGGGCUUUGAUGUUUCCUAGUGUUGCUCAAGCUCCACCCAGUGCAGAAGAACACCUCCCCCUGGCUGCCCGAGGAAUAGACUUCUGCUGCCUUUGGAUCAAGCAAGAUGUAGAACUCUUGGCUCCUCCAAUACCAUGUCUGCCUGCAAGCUGCCACGCUUCCCCCCAUGAUGAUAAUGGACUGAACCUCUGAAACUGUAAGCCAGUCUCAAUUAAAUGUCUUCUAAGGGUUGCCUUGGUCAUGUCCCUUCACAGCAAUGAAACCCUGACUAAGACAGAUGCCCUCCUUCCAUCCCUUGUCCCUUGCCACCUAUGGCAAGCGGGAGAGCUGGUUCCAGGGUCAUGAAAGUAAAAGAACUGACCUGUCUCUCACAGGCUGUAACACUCAGGAGAGUGGGCCCUGCACCUUGCCUGGGCAGCAGGUUAGAGCUGGCUCUGGUUACAGGGGUUGCAGGUGAGCCAUCCCCAGUGCCUAAGAGCAGAAGAGCUAGCCACACCCCUCACCUGCUCCACUCUAGGAGAGAGCCAGCCCUGCAUCUCUCCUGGGCAUCACAACAGAGCCAUAGCUGAAGGCAGGAGAGCCCUCCUACUUGCUGGCUGCUCUGUUGGAUGGGUCAGCCAGGGCAGGGAAAAUAGCUCACCUCUGUGGUGUGAAUAUAAUGGGCUGACCAGCUCAGGUACCUCUCAGACCCAGAUCCAGGGCUUUGAAUUGGCAUCUACCCCAUCAAUGAGCUGCUGGAGUGUGUGAUGGAGCCUGUCCCACAGAUCAAAACUACAGGAUCCCCAUGACACAGGGCAACAAUGGGGAAUCUGAGGGGAGUCCCAGUGAGGUUCCUGUGUGGAUAGUGUAGCAGAUGCCAGAGGCCCUGCACCCAACAAACUCAUUGCAAUGAACAUUUGCAAGCAAAGAAGUGUGUACAUAAGGAUACACUGUGGGACACACUACAGCUUCCACAACGAGAUUGUUUGCCCCUUUUUUUUUCACUGUUGGGGAGGAGGUGACAGGGUAGAGGGUGGGUACAGGGGCAGAGAUGAGUGGGAUUGGAGUGCAUGAUGAGAAAGUCACAAAGAGCCAAUAAAAGGUGAGGAGGAGGAAUGAGAGAAGGGCAAGGGAUCCCCUCCCUUGAGCAGUUGGAACUCCAUAUCUUCAACCUGAAUAAGGACACUGAGACCUUGGUGCAGACUAGAGGACAGAAGACCAGGGGACC
rnacentral:lncRNA from 1 species